GUAGGUGGCAAGCGUUGUCCCGGAAUUAUUGGGCGUAAAGCGCGCGCAGGCGGUUCUUUAAGUCUGAUGUGAAAGCCCACGGGCUCAACCGUGGAGGGUCAUUGGAAACUGGAGAACUUGAGUACAGAAGAGGAAAGGGGAAUUCCACGUGUAGCGGUGAAAUGCGUAGAGAUGUGGAGGAACACCAGUGGCGAAGGCGGCUUUCUGGUCUGUAACUGACGCUGAGGCGCGAAAGCGUGGGGAGCAAACAGGAUUAGAUACCCUGGUAGUCCACGCCCGUAAACGAUGAGUGCUAAGUGUUAGGGGGUUUCCGCCCCUUAGUGCUGCAGCUAACGCAUUAAGCACUCCGCCUGGGGAGUACGGCCGCAAAGGCUG
rnacentral:rRNA from 1 species